GACGAACGCUGGCGGCGUGUCUAAUACAUGCAAGUAGAACGCUGAAGGAGGAGCUUGCUUCUCUGGAUGAGUUGCGAACGGGUGAGUAACGCGUAGGUAACCUGCCUGGUAGCGGGGGAUAACUAUUGGAAACGAUAGCUAAUACCGAAUAAUAGUAGAUGUUGCAUGACAUUUGCUUAAAAGGUGCAAUUGCAUCACUACCAGAUGGACCUGCGUUGUAUUAGCUAGUUGGUGAGGUAACGGCUCACCAAGGCGACGAUACAUAGCCGACCUGAGAGGGUGAUCGGCCACACUGGGACUGAGUCACGGCCCAGACUCCUACGGGAGGCAGCAGUAGGGAAUCUUCGGCAAUGGACGGAAGUCUGACCGAGCAACGCCGCGGGAGUGAAGAAGGUUUUCGGAUAGUAAUGCUCUGUUGUAAGAGAAGAACGAGUGUGAGAGUGGAAAGUUCACACUGUGACGGUAUCUUACCAGAAAGGGACGGCUAACUACGUG
rnacentral:rRNA from 1 species